rnacentral:lncRNA from 1 species
GGUCUUUGUAUAUUUCGAUGAUUUUCUUUUAGAAAAUAACGACAUUCUUUGACAUAAACCCAGUUCAUAAACUUUCUGCUCAGACACUGGUAACGUUUUAUAAAGACCGAGUAGCAGAUUUAAUCUUAGACUUGAAUACUGAAUGAAUUGGAAAUGCGAAAGGUAAUUGUGUCAUCAUUUACAUGUCACAGAACUAAGUACCGGUACUGUGAUAUUCAUUUAUUUUCGUGGUUUAAGGAAAACUUUCAUGUUCGUUGAUAUUUAAUUCAAUAGUUUUGAAGAACUCUGCAUACAAGCCUAUAUGAACUUUGUGAUUCGUUGAACAUUUAAUUUCGUGGUUAAUCUGUACUAAUAAAAUCCACGAAAACUGAUAUCGAACAAAUAUCAAUGAAUACAGUACAUUAAAUUCCUACAAACCACUUACACAUGAACUCACGUUCGUAUCAGCGUCAUAAGGCGUAUAUAGUAUAGUUCUACAGCAGUCCAAGACCUCAAAAUUGAAAGCAACCGUAAGCUAAAUAAAACGUGACCUCAUCUGUGGUACAGAAUCAUGGCUCAAAGGAUAAAAAAUAGGUGAAAACCAUUAUUAAAGAUGCAAUUAAAUCGAGCGAAGUAUUCCUAAAUGAUUGUACCACCUAUAGAAACGACAGGGGAACGAUUUGUUGGGUGUGGUGGUCAUAUCAGUAGAACAAAAAUAGCACCAAUCCCAACAGUUAUCUUCUAAACAUCAAGACACUGGAAUAGUUAUCAAAGGUACCAGGAUUAUAAUUUAGUACCCAGACGCGCGGCGUCUACAUAAGACUCAUCAUGACGCUCAGAUCAAAAUAGUUAUAAACCUAGACAAGUACUAAGUUGAAGAGCGUUGAGGACCCAAAAUUCUAAAAAGUGGUGCCAAAUACGGCUAAGGUAAUCUAUUCCUGGGAUAAGAAAAUCCUUAGUUUUUCGAAAAAUUCAAAGUUUUGUAACAGGAAUUUUUUAAACAAAUGACCAUAUACAUGUUAUGAUAUUCAUGUCAACACCGAAGUGCUGACUACUGGGAUGGUGAUACUCUCGGGGACGAAACGUCCACCAGCAGUGGUAUCGACCCAGUAGUGUAAAUAGUUAUCAAAGGUACCAGGAUCAUAAUUUAGUACGCCAGAUGCGCCUUUCGUCUACACAAGACUCAUCAGUGACACUCAGAUCAAAAUAAUUAUAAACCUAAACAAGUACAAAGUUGAAGAGCAUUGAGGACCCAAAACUACCUGAAUGCGGACUCAUUUAAAACAUUCUUGUGUUUUCAAAAAAGAGAGG